UCCCCAGUGGCUCAGUGGUAAAGAAUCUGCCUGCUAAUGCAGGAGACACAGGAGACGCGGGUUCAAUCCCUGGCUGGGGAA
rnacentral:tRNA from 1 species